rnacentral:lncRNA from 1 species
GGCGCUGACGGAGAUCCAUGGAUUUGGCGCAAUUAAUGGCGGGCCGGUACUGGUACAACCGGCGUUCUAGAAGGCAGACCUGCGGGAGCCCGGCCUAUCCGGACGUGUCGUAUGACCUUCACCCGGAGCUGACCAAGCACUGGCGCACUUGCUACAAGUUCCUUGCCUGCAAGGGUAACGAAUCCUCGGCCGCGACCAGACACGAAUCGAAUCGGAAAACGCAGCUCGG